rnacentral:rRNA from 1 species
UACGUAGGGUGCGAGCGUUGUCCGGAAUUAUUGGGCGUAAAGAGCUCGUAGGCGGCUUGUUGCGUCGGAUGUGAAAGCUCGGGGCUUAACUCCGGGCCUGCAGUGGGUACGGGCAGACUAGAGGUGCGGUAGGGGAGACUGGAAUUCCUGGUGUAGCGGUGAAAAUGCGCAGAUAUCAGGAGGAACACCGGUGGCGAAGGCGGGUCUCUGGACCACAACUGACGCUGAGGCGCGAAAGCUAGGGGAGCAAACAGG